rnacentral:rRNA from 1 species
UACGUAGGGGGCUAGCGUUGUCCGGAAUCAUUGGGCGUAAAGCGCGUGUAGGCGGUUCGGUAAGUCCGCUGUGAAAGUCGGGGGGCUCAACCCUCGGAUGCCGGUGGAUACUGUCGGACUAGAGUGCGGAAGAGGCGAGUGGAAUUCCUGGUGUAGCGGUGAAAUGCGCAGAUAUCAGGAGGAACACCGAUUGCGAAGGCAGCUCGCUGGGACGUUACUGACGCUGAGACGCGAAGGCGUGGGGAGCAAACAGG